CUGAUUCUAGUUUAAGUUGAGAAUAAUAGUUUUGGGGAUUAUUGGUCCUGCUAGGGGAAUUAGA
rnacentral:tRNA from 1 species